rnacentral:other from 1 species
UGCCUGCCCUGUGCGUGAUAGGUGAUGAGGUUGAUCCACCAGGUUAGAUCUUCAGGGAGCCGAUGUAAGGAGGACGGUGUGCAGGCCCUCCUGGGGGAGGGAAGCCUAAAGUCCCCUUCUAGGCACCCACUUGUUGGGAGGGGAUCUAACGCUUGCGCCUACACGGCAGGGCGGGUCC